rnacentral:ncRNA from 2 species
UCUGUGAUGCCCUUAGAU